AUGACACUACCCUGGCACCAUGGUGAGCCACACAGCUUCCAGACAUCAAACAUGUGCCAUGACUUGGGAGUGGGGAAGAAGCUACUCAGAGCUGUGGGUCAUUAUGCCUUAGCUUCAGCUACACAUCCUCUCACUAGCAUCUGUAGCAGAAGACUGCAGAGUGCAGACAGAAGAGUGCCUUUCUAGAGAAGGGUGAGAGAAUGUCUUUCUAGUGGGGUUUAGUGGUCAGACAGACAGGAGGUAGAGCUUUGGGGAGGCUCGUGUAGAUGGCCUCAGCACCAACUAAUGAGCAACCAAGAGCACUGUUCACACUAUCUCCCUCUGGGUUUGCCAGCAACAAAGAAAACCUGAGUGGUAGGAAAUAAUUGGUAUUUCUCAGCUGAAAAGCCUGAACAAGUCAAAGAUAAUUUUUUUGACCUGGAUGAUUGUCUCUUGACUUGCUGGGGAAUCCUUCUCCCUGAAGGAGGAAGGCAGAAAGAGACGUUGGAAUAAUUUGGAGGCAUUCAUAAUGCAGAUUGGAAGAGGAAGCAAGGCCUAGCAAUAGAUGCCAAACUUAGAACUUCAAAGCACAUAGUUCUGGUUUGGGUCACCUCUCACCGUCUGCUGAGGACUAUAUCAGCAACUCACUUGCUUGGGAGUGAGAUGAAGUAUGUGAAUUGCCCUGGGAUUUUUCCCAGCUGAUGAGCUUUGUUUUGACCCUCAGCAUAACGUCUACGCCCUUUCUUCAUCUUUUCUUUAACUCCUUUCAUCUGAUUCCUUUGACACUUUACCAUGCAAUCUUGAACAUGUUCUUCUAUAGGGAUGCUUCUAUAGGGAUA
rnacentral:lncRNA from 1 species